UACGUAGGGGGCGAGCGUUGUCCGGAAUUAUUGGGCGUAAAGCGCGCGCAGGCGGUUCUUUAAGUCUGGUGUGAAAGCCCACGGCUCAACCGUGGAAGGUCAUUGGAAACUGGAGGACUUGAGUGCAGGAGAGGAAAGCGGAAUUCCAUGUGUAGCGGUGAAAUGCGUAGAUAUAUGGAGGAACACCAGUGGCGAAGGCGGCUUUCUGGCCUGCAACUGACGCUGAGGCGCGAAAGCGUGGGGAGCAAACAGG
rnacentral:rRNA from 1 species